rnacentral:rRNA from 1 species
GACGUAGGGCGCGAGCGUUGUCCGGAUUUAUUGGGCGUAAAGAGCUCGUAGGCGGCUUGUCGCGUCGACUGUGAAGACCCGCGGCUUAACUGCGGGACUGCAGUCGAUACGGGCAGGCUAGAGUUCGGUAGGGGAGACUGGAAUUCCUGGUGUAGCGGUGAAAUGCGCAGAUAUCAGGAGGAACACCGGUGGCGAAGGCGGGUCUCUGGGCCGACACUGACGCUGAGGAGCGAAAGCGUGGGGAGCGAACAGG